UUACCCAAUAACCUUAAAACUAUCUGAAACCCCUCUAGACCUUAGAGACCUAUUUCAUUUCACCCUUAUCUCUCUCUGAUGCAAACCCUAGCCGCCCCCUCAUUCCCCCGCCAGCUCCGCGUCGCUCAGCCGCCCGGAAAUCGCCUUACGGCAGCGAAGCUUCACCAAAUCACCCCAAAUUCACCCUCUACAAUCCUUAGUCUCCCCUCUAUACCAUCCCACCAUCAGCUUCCCCAAAAACACCACCCAAUUCCGUCGAUUUCAUAUCUGAAAUCUGACCCUAAAAACUCUAAAUCACCCAAAUGGCCCUAAACUCACACCAUAGGACCCUCAACCUUCCCUCACCACUACCCUACCCUUGAUUCCCCAAAAAUUCCCACCAAAAUCCUCGAAUUUGAAAUCUAUGAAAAACCAGAAAAACCUAGUUCCAUUUGUCCAUCCUUUUCGAGUUUUCUUUGGAUUGCUUCCGGAUUCGAUGUGGUUGAAAGACCAUGUUGGUCAAUCAUUCUCAACAAGAACGGUUGGUUAGCAUAUUUUUUUAGUCGCAUCAAAGGACUGUUGAACUGCCAGACUCCUUUUGGUAUUUUCCUUAACUCUUUUCCUUGUUUCUUUAUUUUGUUAGCUUAAUUUAUGCAUGUGAAUAAUUAUAAGUAAUCUAGUUUAUUUCUGUACAAAUUAUUUAGUUCACAGCAUGUCUAAUUGUUGGAAAAUUAUUUUUAGUUGUAUAGUUUAGUUAAUUCAAUCACCGUGGAGGUUAAUUAGGUUAAUUAUUAGGUUUCAUUACAUUACCAUAUUUGUUUCUUUGUUUGUUACUGUGUUCUGCUAUCUGUGUUCGUUUAAAUUCAGUUUUUGUUUAGAUAAGCAUUUUCAUUUAUUGAUUAGUUUAACUUUUAGGUUUAAAUUGCAUCAUCGUGCUUCAGUUGUCAUUUCAAUUUGAAUUUUUGGACCCCUUUUGAUUUUGUCCAUGAUUUGUAAAUCACUAGAACUUGUAGGGGCUUAAUUAAACUAAAAGGGAAACUUAGGAGGAUUUCAGAACUUUAGAAAAACAAAUAUCUAGGAAAAGGAAGGUUCUAGAAGUAUACAGCUGUCCAGAAUUAUUUAAAAGAUGCUGAAAAAUGGACAACUGUCCAUUAUUCUCUGUCAAAAAUGAUGUACUAUCUAAGGAAUUUAGGGUAGAAUACUCCUUAGAUGUUAUUUUUGGAUAUACACUAUAAAAAGAAAGUCAUUCCCUCAUUUUCUCACAGACUCAUCAGAUUUCAAAAAUACACUCUAAAAAUUCAGCUGUUGUUUCUAUAGAAGCGGACUCUCUUUUCCUCUAAUUUUAGCAAAAAACUUAAAGAACUUCUUUGGGAUUUUCUGGUUUUCAUAAGUCAAAAAAUGGAUUGAAUCCGAAGCUUUCUUUUCUGGGAUUUACUGCUGCUGCUCAUGCUGUGUUGUUUAAGUUUGGGUUGAGCUCCAAAUUUCAUUAUUUUGAUCUGUACUUGGUCUUCUUUCUACUGUUCUUCUUGUUUCUGGCCAUUAGGUAUGUAGAAACUCACCUGUAGCUUCAUGUUGCAUUUAUGAAUGAAAUUUGGGACUAUCUAGUAGUGUUUUGUGUUUGAUUUCCUUACUAUGUUCCACUGAAUUUGUUCCAUAAAAAUUUUUGUUCUUUUUAUCAGCAUUCUCUUAUGCUUCUUAUGUAAACUAGUGGCCCUUGACUUAGUUAAGUUCAUAUGUGUUUCUCCUAUUUAUUUAGUUUUGUUUUUUAAAAUAAAAAUAAAGAACAAUCAGAAUACUUUUGCGCUACUGUCUGGUCAUCUGAAUUAGUGUGGUUAUCUUGAGAGUUGUCAAACUAUCUCAUGUUUAGCAUGAUUAUGUUGUGAUUUGGGUCUGUUUUGUCAAAGUUGAUAUUUCAUGUGUAAACUAACGGAUUGUAAGCUGGAAAGUGAUCAAGAUUGUUUAAUUCUAAAUAUGAAUGUAGAUAGCUAUUAACAACAGUUGGAGCAUGUGGUGUCAACUGUUAAAUUUUGUAUAGUUUCAGCCCUGUUUGAACCUUGCAGAAUCAAUAUUAAUUCAAAAAGGGUUUCCUUAUAAAGUGGUUUUGCUGAAGUAUAUGGAUUUUUGUUGAGUUUGAGAAGGCUUAAUGCUGGUUACAUGGCUAUGUCUUGCUGAUCUGACCACCAGUCGGAUCAGAUUGGUGAAGCUAAGUCUAAAAGGUGGAUUUGGAGUCAUCCAUGGAAGGGGUGUAACACAAGAUUGGUUAUGUUUUUUUUAGUUUAAUUAGCCUUAUGAACAAUCUAUGUAAAUAUUUAAGGAUUCAUGUCUAUUAUCCUUCUUGAUGAUUGUAUUGUGAUUCACCAGAUUUGCAAGUAUUAGAAAUGUAAUUAAUUUGUCUUAUCUUAGAUCAGAUAAAUAGUUCAGCUAU
rnacentral:lncRNA from 1 species